rnacentral:rRNA from 1 species
UCUGGUUGAUCCUGCCGGAGGCCACUGCUAUCGGAGUUCGAUUAAGCCAUGCGAGUCGAGAGGUGUAAGACCUCGGCAUACUGCUCAGUAACACGUGGACGACCUACCCUGAAGAGGGGGAUAACCCCGGGAAACUGGGGAUAAUACCCCAUAGACUAUGGAUGCUGGAAUGCUUUGUAAUUGAAAGGUCCGCCGCUUCAGGAUGGGUCUGCGGCCGAUUAGGUUGUUGUUGGGGUAACGGCCCAACAAGCCUGUAAUCGGUACGGGUUGUGGGAGCAAGAGCCCGGAGAUGGAUUCUGAGACACGAAUCCAGGCCCUACGGGGCGCAGCAGGCGCGAAAACUUUACAAUGCGAGAAAUCGUGAUAAGGGAACUCCGAGUGCCCGUAAAAUCGGGCUGUCCGCCAGUGUAAAUAACUGGUGAAGAAAGGGCCGGGCAAGACCGGUGCCAGCCGCCGCGGUAAUACCGGCGGCUCGAGUGGUGGCCACUAUUACUGGGCUUAAAGCGUUCGUAGCUGGUCUGUUAAGUCUCUGGGGAAAUCUUCCGGCUUAACCGGAAGGCGUCUCAGGAAUACUGGCAGACUAGGGACCGGAAGAGGUGAGAGGUACUCCAGGGGUAGGAGUGAAAUCCUGUAAUCCUUGGGGGACCACCUGUGGCGAAGGCGUCUCACCAGGACGGCUCCGACAGUGAGGAACGAAAGCUGGGGGAGCAAACCGGAUUAGAUACCCGGGUAGUCCCAGCUGUAAACGAUGCGCGUUAGGUGUAUCGGUGACCACGAGUCACCGAGGUGCCGAAGAGAAAUCGUGAAACGCGCCGCCUGGGAAGUACGGUCGCAAGGCUGAAACUUAAAGGAAUUGGCGGGGGAGCACCACAACGGGUGGAGCCUGCGGUUUAAUCGGACUCAACGCCGGGAAACUCACCGGACAAGACAGCUGAAUGAUAGUCGGGCUGAAGACUCUACUUGACUAGCUGAGAGGAGGUGCAUGGCCGUCGUCAGUUCGUACUGUGAAGCAUCCUGUUAAGUCAGGCAACGAGCGAGACCCA